rnacentral:lncRNA from 1 species
GGGCAUCCCUAAACAUGUCUGAGAGUCGAUGAGAGGCUUUCAUGUGGAAAUUUCUAUGUAUUUGUGUUUCAUGUUCAGGUUUCCACUACACCUUCAUCUAUACAUUCAUUGAUAAACAAAACAAACAUUGAUUAAUGACUCAAUUAUAUAAUACCAAUGACAAUUACUUUAAAGUUGUUUACCUUAAAACGCUCCCAAAAUGGCUUUCUGUCGUCUUUAGGUAUUGCUCCCCAAGUAGGCCAUGGACUCAUAUACUGUUGC